AUACGUAGGGGGCGAGCGUUGUCCGGAAUGAUUGGGCGUAAAGGGCGCGUAGGCGGCCCGGUACGUCUGGAGUGAAAGUCCUGUUUUUAAGAUGGGAAUUGCUUUGGAUACUGUCGGGCUUGAGUGCCGGAGAGGUAAGUGGAAUUCCCCGUGUAGCGGUGACAUGAGUAGAGAUUGGGAGGAACACCAGUGGCGAAGGCGACUUACUGGACUGUAACUGACGCUGAGGCGCGAAAGUGUGGGGAGCAAACAGGAUUAGAUACCCUGGUAGUCCACACUGUAAACGAUGAAUGCUAGGUGUAGGGGGUAUCGACCCCUUCUGUGCCGCAGUCAACACAAUAAGCAUUCCGCCUGGGGAGUACGGCCGCAAGGUUGAAACUCAAAUGAAUUGACGGGG
rnacentral:rRNA from 1 species